GUGCUUACACAUGCAGUCGAACGGUGAACACGGAGCUUGCUCUGUGGGAUCAGUGGCGAACGGGUGAGUAACACGUGAGCAACCUGCCCCUGACUCUGGGAUAAGCGCUGGAAACGGCGUCUAAUACUGGAUAUGUGACGUGACCGCAUGGUCUGCGUCUGGAAAGAAUUUCGGUUGGGGAUGGGCUCGCGGCCUAUCAGCUUGUUGGUGAGGUAAUGGCUCACCAAGGCGUCGACGGGUAGCCGGCCUGAGAGGGUGACCGGCCACACUGGGACUGAGACACGGCCCAGACUCCUACGGGAGGCAGCAGUGGGGAAUAUUGCACAAUGGGCGCAAGCCUGAUGCAGCAACGCCGCGUGAGGGACGACGGCCUUCGGGUUGUAAACCUCUUUUAGCAGGGAAGAGCGAAAGUGACCGGUACCUGCAGAAAAAAGCGCCGGCUAACUACGUGCCAGCAGCCGCGGUAAUACCGUAGGGCGCAAGCGUUAUCCGGAAUUAUUGGGCGU
rnacentral:rRNA from 1 species